AUUGAACGCUGGCGGCAUGCCUUACACAUGCAAGUCGAACGGUAACGGGCCUUCGGGUGCCGACGAGUGGCGAACGGGUGAGUAAUAUAUCGGAACGUACCUUUCAGUGGGGGAUAACGUAGCGAAAGUUACGCUAAUACCGCAUAUUCUGUGCGCAGGAAAGCAGGGGACCUUCGGGCCUUGCGCUGAUUGAGCGGCCGAUAUCAGAUUAGCUAGCUGGUGAGGUAAAGGCUCACCAAGGCGACGAUCUGUAGCGGGUCUGAGAGGAUGAUCCACCACAGUGGAACUGGGACACGGUCCAGACUCCUACGGGAGGCAGCAGUGGGGAAUUGUGGACAAUGGGGGCAAUCCUGAUCCAGCCAUGCCGCGUGAGUGAAGAAGGCCUUCGGGUUGUAAAGCUCUUUCGGCCGGGAAGAAAUCGUAUGGGCUAAUACCCUGUGCGGAUGACGGUACCGGCAUAAGAAGCACCGGCUAACUACGUGCCAGCCGCCGCCGUAA
rnacentral:rRNA from 1 species